UGUAGAUGGCAACCUCAAGAUGAUGACAUGACCAAAAUUUAACCUGCAGUCAAACACCUAUUUGAGCUGGUGGUCACAGCAGAGAAUUCAAUGGGGAAAAUAGGUGGUGUCGGACUCUCAGGAAUAGCGAACUGUUGUAGUAAAAUCCUAUUAAGCUCCCAGAGCUUCUCUCUGCUUGCUCUCGUCUUUUCAUUUCUCUGUGACAUUAUAUAUAUUCAAGUUUGGAAAUAAAGCUUUAAUGUUAUGGCACCUCACUGCACCCGAGCUGCCUGCUCCAGGCUUUGUUUUCUCUCCGUCUCUCUCUCCUUUCUCUGUGCUUGUGUGUCUGUGUUCAUGGGCGGGACUCAUGGCGGGUCCCUGCCGCUGGCUGAACACACCUGCAGCAAUCAGCCACCUGUUCCAGAUGAUCUCAUCAGGAGGUUGUGGCUGAGUUUCAUUCUCUUCUGGAUUGUUGAACUCUCAUACCUUCCCUGGUUUUUCCCCUCCCUGGAGGACUUGGAGACUGCUUGAGAUGAGCGAGUGAGGAGAGUUUGGAUUGUUUGGAAGCCCCUUUUCCCUGUUUCCCCAUCACAACCUUUACUGUUAAAAAAAAAAUAAUCUCUGAACUUAAUUAAAAGUUCAUAAAAACUAAUGGUCUCCUUGAUUUCUAUAUCUGGAUGGUUGUGCUGCCCCCUCAAAUGUCAGUACCAGGAAAGGACAGAUGUGCUGGGUUGAGGCCAGGACUCUGUGCAGGCCAGUCAAGUUCUUCUUCACCAAACCUGCUCAUCGAUGUCUUCAUGGACCUUGUUUUGUGCAUUCGUGUAUUUGAACAGGAAGGGGCCAUCCCCAAAAUGUUCCCACAAAGUGUGGAGCAUGAAACUGUCUUGGCCCCUCAGUUCCCUUCAAUGGAACUAAGGGGCCAAGUCCAGCUAAUGAAAAACAACCCCACAACAUAAUCCCCCCUCGACCAAACUUUAAACUUUAUAACAUUCUCUUGGUAAAACCAGACUCAUCCAUCAGAUUGCCAGACAGAGUGGCCUGAUUCAUCAGUCCAGAGAACAUGUCUCCACUGCUCUA